UACUUUUUUUUUUUUUUUUUUUUUUUUUUUUUUUUUUUUUUUUUUUUUUUUUUUGUUUAAUGCACCUUU
rnacentral:ribozyme from 1 species